GCUACAGGUAUUAUGGAUGGUGGUGAUCCAUAAUUUGAUCCGUAAAUUAUGUCUCUCUUGGAUCUCAUUCUGGUCUCUUACCAAGGCGACAUUAUAAUCUAUGUUGUGUUCUUGCAUAUCACUGAGUGCCCUUUUGGCUGCCAUUCUCAAUGCUAAGAAAUACAAAAUGUCUCAUCUUGGCUCACUCCUCAUAAGCACCUUAGGUGGUUGUUCGUGUGAGAGAGCCAACCUUACC
rnacentral:lncRNA from 1 species